rnacentral:rRNA from 1 species
GACGAAUGCUGGCUGCGUGCUUAACACAUGCAAGUCGAACGGUGAAGGAGGGCUUGCCCUCCGGAUCAGUGGCGAACGGGUGAGUAACACGUGGGCAACCUGCCCCUCACUCUGGGAUAACGCCGGGAAACCGGCGCUAAUACCGAAUACGACUAGAAGCGACAUCUCUUCUGGUGGAAAGAAUUUCGGUGAGGGAUGGGCCCGCGGCCUAUCAGCUAGUUGGUGAGGUAACGGCCCACCAAGGCGACGACGGGUAGCCGGCCUGAGAGGGCGACCGGCCACACUGGGACUGAGACACGGCCCAGACUCCUACGGGAGGCAGCAGUGGGGAAUAUUGCGCAAUGGGCGAAAGCCUGACGCAGCGACGCAGCGUGAGGGACGAAGGCCUUCGGGUUGUAAACCUCUUUCAGCGGGGACGAAGCGAAAGUGACGGUACCCGCAGAAGAAGCACCGGCUAACUACGUGCCAGCAGCCGCCGUAACAC